rnacentral:rRNA from 1 species
GAUGAACGCUGGCGGCGUGCCUAAUACAUGCCAGUCGAGCGAACAGAUGAGGAGCUUGCUCCUCUGACGUUAGCGGCGGACGGGUGAGUAACACGUGGAUAACCUACCUAUAAGACUGGGAUAACUUCGGGAAACCGGAGCUAAUACCGGAUAAUAUAUUGAACCGCAUGGUUCAAUAGUGAAAGACGGUUUUGCUGUCACUUAUAGAUGGAUCCGCGCCGCAUUAGCUAGUUGGUAAGGUAACGGCUUACCAAGGCAACGAUGCGUAGCCGACCUGAGAGGGUGAUCGGCCACACUGGAACUGAGACACGGUCCAGACUCCUACGGGAGGCAGCAGUAGGGAAUCUUCCGCAAUGGGCGAAAGCCUGACGGAGCAACGCCGCGUGAGUGAUGAAGGUCUUCGGAUCGUAAAACUCUGUUAUUAGGGAAGAACAAAUGUGUAAGUAACUAUGCACGUCUUGACGGUACCUAAUCAGAAAGCCACGGCUAACUACGUG